UACGUAGGGUGCGAGCGUUAAUCGGAAUUACUGGGCGUAAAGCGUGCGCAGGCGGCGGCUCAAGUCAGGUGUGAAAUCCCCGGGCUUAACCUGGGAAUUGCGCUUGAAACUAGGUCGCUAGAGUGUGGCAGAGGGGGGGUGGAAUUCCACGUGUAGCAGUGAAAUGCGUAGAGAUGUGGAGGAACACCGAUGGCGAAGGCAGCCCCCCUGGGUCAACACUGACGCUCAUGCACGAAAGCGUGGGGAGCGAACAGG
rnacentral:rRNA from 1 species